UUGAUUCCUUGGAGGAAUUUCUGGAGUUUGAAGAAGAUCCUGAAAGACAACGAUCUCUAAAACACCAUCUUAUCAACGUUGGCGGUGUCACAGUUAGAGAUGCUCUCAACCAAUUUCUGAAGGAAGUCAUGACGGAUAGCCUGACAAAAAAAUUCUCUUAGACCGGAAAGUCUGUUUCAAAUAAAGAGAAUCUGCGACCACUCUUUGAUACCUCUAUCGGAAAGAUGCCUUACGUGAGUGUGGAACGAUACCGCAACCACAUGAGCGGACA